rnacentral:sRNA from 1 species
AUGUUUACAAAUAAAAGCAUUCAGAUAUAGAUAAUAUGGAAUAUGGUAUAUGAAUCGGAGUAUAGCGAUCCAAGUUGAUUAAGUGUUGAUUCAUGACAUGGUCUUUAACCUUCAAGUUGUGAAGAAGCUUUACAUAACUUUAAAAUUCAGAAGAGAGAUAUUGUUUUCGUAAGCGGUAUGUUUAGUAUCAUUAGAAAUGCCAGUAAGAUGGAUUACAAUUAUUGAUGAUAAUUGAGGUGCAGUAUCCCUCAGAAAAGGGAGAUGACUCUUGUGUUAGAUAAAUUACUCCAUGGUAUUAGAUUCACACAUGUAUUCCUUUAUGAAAAUUUAGAGAGAAAUGCCAUUUGUCAACAUCUUGUACCUGAAAGUUUAUGCUAGUAAGAAAUUGAAUGUGCAAAAUUAUUGUUUAUGCAACACUAAUUAAUUCUUCAUUUUAGCAAUGCUACAAAUUUUGGCCAGUUGUAUAAAAUAGUGAAAUAGUUAAAAAAACACACAAGAUUUAGCAAAACUAGAAUUUAGCUGUGGUGAAUUUGAAAGUGAUUUUUUUCUCCUUCUUAUAGGAACAUGAUAUUGUUAAGUUUGAGAUAAACACCGUGCAUAAAGUUCCCUGCAAUAAUACCAAGUGUAAUUAUAAACUCCCAUUUUCGCAAUGAUUUGGUGUCUUGCAUGUACAUGUUGCAUUGAUGUGCAAACAGUCAUGUGAACUCUUUAGAAGAAGGUAUAUAAUAUCAUAAUUAUGUGAAGUACAUACCGUAGAUUCCUUAGUUUACACGAGUACUUUAAUUCCGCAACUCAACUGUUUUGCUUCAGAUCGCAAGAAUAUAAAAUCACGAACGCUAAAAUUCUUAUCAUAAUUUCAUUUAGUUUACAUCUGUCCGAAAAAUAAAUGUGAGAUUUUAGACGAAUAUGUAUUCCUUGUGUUUAAUUAGGAAUCUACAGUAUAUAUUGGAUGCUAUGAAACAUCUGUUGUGGAAUAUUAAAGCUUUGAUUUUUUUUAUAAAGAAAAAUAUAAUUUGCUUGUUAGAUACGUGAAGUUUUCAAGUUGUGAUUUUUUUUUUCUAUGAAAUGAGAAAUUAAAAUGUUAUUUUUUAAAAUUUC